rnacentral:misc_RNA from 1 species
CCUCGGGCGGUGGGGUUCUGUCAUGGUGUACUCACAAACUCGAAACAACUGAACUCGUGGGAACACGCUACCCCCGGCGGCUUAAAAUUUACCUAAACCCAAGCCUCCAAUACGAUUCUCCUUCGAUCUGCCCAAAACGGGACAGGCCGGUUCCGUUAAGAACCAGCCUGCGGGAUGCGAAAUGUUGUGUCAGAAUCGCGCCGUGUCAGCGGAUUGUCACAUCGUCAGCUCGACGCGGCCUGCUUCACGACGCGCUUGAUCUGAUCGAGCGUGUAGUUCUUGCCG